CCGAAUUGUUGACACGAGUUGUUGCUGGUCCCUCAAUGGGGGCAUGUGCACGCUCUGUUCACACAUCCACUCACACCUGUGCACCUUCUGUGGUUCUGUGGCUUGGGGGACGCAACGUCUCCUGCCGUAGUUCUGCAUCUUUACACACACACUGUAACAACGUUUUAUGGGAUGUAUGCCGCGUGUAACGCAAUACAAUA
rnacentral:misc_RNA from 1 species